GGGUGGUUCAGUGGUAGAAUUCUCGCC
rnacentral:piRNA from 3 species